AGCCAGAGAGCAGUGAUUGGUUAGACUGACAGAGCCAGAGAGCAGUGAUUGGUCAGACAGCGCGCUAGCGGAUCUAGUCUGCUGUACGUAUCUAUGGUCGGCACGUCUGCUAGCGUCUCUGGCUGCUGGAGACCUCGUUUUUGGAGUAAAACACGGUGGAAGCUGAAUUAGUGAGGAUGACUCCUGCUCCUGUCAUCUCUAAGCUCCUCACACAUCUUUACCUGCACAUGAGGAAAAUCACUCCUGUAGAAUGCAGAUGCACAAUGAGGGACGUCUGCAGAGACUGAGAAAGAGUCUCACCACAUCCUGACAUGAGGAAAAAGACUUUAUUGAAGACUACAAUGAGAAAAACUAUCAGACAGCAGACGGCUGCAUUCAAGGUGAGCUCUGAA